CGAAAGUUAGAGGUUCGAAGGCGAUCAGAUACCGCCCUAGUUCUAACCAUAAACGAUGCCAACCAGCGAUCCGCCUGAGUUCCUCAAAUGACUCGGCGGGCAGCUUCCGGGAAACCAAAGUGUUUGGGUUCCGGGGGAAGUAUGGUUGCAAAGCUGAAACUUAAAGGAAUUGACGGAAGGGCACCACCAGGAGUGGAGCCUGCGGCUUAAUUUGACUCAACACGGGAAAACUUACCCGGCCCGGACACUGGAAGGAUUGACAGAUUAAGAGCUCUUUCUUGAUUCAGUGGGUGGUGGUGCAUGGCCAUUCUUAGUUGGUGGAGCGAUUUGUCUGGUUAAUUCCGAUAACGAACGAGACUCUAGCCUACUAAAUAGGCGUUCCGAUCCUUUAUGUCGGACGUUCUUCUUAGAGGGACAAGCGGCUUUUAGCCGCACGAGACAGAGCAAUAACAGGUCUGUGAUGCCCUUAGAUGUCCGGGGCCGCACGCGCGCUACACUGAAGGAAUCAGCGUGUGCUUUCCCUGUCUGGUAGGACUGGGUAACCCGUUAAACCUCCUUCGUGAUAGGGAUAGGGGCUUGUAAUUCUUCCCCUUGAACGAGGAAUUCCCAGUAAGCACGAGUCAUAAGCUCGUGUUGAUUACGUCCCUGCCCUUUGUACACACCGCCCGUCGCUACUACCGAUUGAAUGAUUUAGUGAGGUCUUCGGACUGGCGCUCGUAGCGGCCAUUUGGCCGCGCCGACGUGCCGGAAAGAUGACCAAACUUGAUCAUUUAGAGGAAGUAAAAGU
rnacentral:rRNA from 1 species